rnacentral:lncRNA from 1 species
UGAAAGACAUGUGCGCGAGGGUGAUAAACUAAUAAUUUUUUUUAUUGGGCCUUAUGUACAGUACAGUAUGCGGCAAUCGUCAAGAACGAUUAUUUUAGCCUCAAGUGAGAAUAGGCACAAGCCCAAACAGAUACAGUACUGCACUCCAUAUACAGUUGAACUUACCUAAGUCAAAUCCAAAAUGCCAUUGAAAUAUUGUUCAACUUAGAUAAAAUUUGACGAUUGCUAAUUCAUGAAAAACACAACAAUUUGGCAUGUAAAAUAAGAUCGACUUAGAAAUUAUUCAACUUAGGCACAAGGUUGACUUAGGCAAGUUUAACUGUAAAUAAUAAAAGAACUGUACACAAACAUUACGGUAAUUACACAACCAAUCAAGUUUUUGUAAUUAAACCAAAAAAAAAUCCAAUACAGUUUUAACUUAGUACUGUACUAUCAAUAGUAAAACCAUUAUUUGUUCAUACUCUACACUUGAACACCCCAUAUUUUUAUUUUGGUUAUAUGUUUAUCGGUACAUGCCACUAUCUAUGUAUUCCCAGUAAAUAUAACACUGGACAUGAAGUACAUUAGUUUAAAGACUAGUUUUAUUGACAAUACACUAGCUUUCAUGCUUGUAUUCCAGCUUAUUGUUUUAUAUUGUCACACUAGCUUGUUUGGAGCAAGAAUGUGUACCCACCCUCCAUUGUCUCUCAUAUGCUGUAGUAAGAAAGAUUGAUUUUUUUUUUCAUUUGUACUGACAUUUGUACAGUCACCUGAAAAAGCUCUGGUUGAGUGAAAGCUUGUUGUACUUGUAAUUGUUAGUCUUAAAAUUAUUGCUACCUGCAAGCUUAUAAUAUUCUUUUUAGAUUUAAUUAUUGAGUUAAAUAAUUAUUCGCAACUAACAACAGUUCAUUCAGAACUAUCUAUAUGGUGUACUUCAAGCAUUAAUAUUAUUACUUCGCCAUGCAAAACUUCAAACAAUAUUAUGAUGAAAUUAUAAUACAUAGAAUAAUGACAUGAAGUUCUUCUAGUAGUAACAUGGCUUUAAUACUGUACUUAAAAACUAGUUAGUACACAGCAUUGAGGUUCUGGUUAUUCAGCCAGUGAAAUCAAAAUUAAAAUUAUAAUAAAUCCCUAGUUAUAUGAUAAGAAUAAUUAUUUGUUUUGGUACUUUACUAGAAAUUACUAUAAUCUUCUGUAGUGUAGGUGAAUGGCUGCUCUGCUGUGACGUACGUAUACACCAACCUUUGUCCCAUUUAUGUGAUGACGUCACAAUUGGCAUUGCGUCAUCAAUGAUUCAGGUUCGUGCCAAUGGUGCAAGCUAGCAAGAUUGAAUAUGUAACCUUGAAAUCAGGAAUUUUGAAUUAAGGAUAAGUGCGAAGUGGGCGUAAAAUGUUAUGGAAGAAGAAUAACCUGUAACUUGGUCAAAUGACUACUCUAGCAGCAGUGGAGAGGCACUGUAGCUUCAGACAUUCCACGACAGGGUGCUGAAGUGAACCAGAGCAGUGGGAUGAUCCUUUUCUCUUCCAAAAGAUGCAUUUGCUGGUGUUUACCUGGAUUUCGCUUUGCAUUCACAUAGGUAGCUACAGAGCUUUUGUAAAGCAGGAUGGUUGUCUUCAGUAAUUUGUGACAUCAUUUAGUUGUCUGUGUAAGCCGCUUUCCAGACUAUCAAAUUUUAUUUGACAAAAACAUGCAACAUGCCUUAGUAUGGUCAUGAUGACAUCACAUCAUGACCAUAUAUGGGCAUAUCAUGGCUAUAUAUGGACAUACAACAGUUUUUUGUCAAAGAAAAUUUGGUAGUCUGGAUAUAGCUUUUGACAUGGGUAAGGUUGGAUCUGAUGCCGAAAGCUGAUGCAGCAAUGGUUCAUUCAAGAGUGGUUGAUAUGAAAACUGAAAGAACUGCUUUGGCUGCAUCCCUGUAUAUUGAACCUGGUGUUUCUACGAGCAGCAGCUGGAUUUGUAUGUAGGAGAGAAUAAAAAUAUUAACCCUCAAAUUUAUUUAAGAAGAAAAGCCCUAUUACAUUUCUGUGUAAUUUUUUGGGUGUAGGAGAGGUGGAUAUGGGAAGGGAUAUGAAAGGCACAUGCAAUGGAAUGCACAUGCUAUUGGGUUCUGAAGUAGGAGUGAUGCUUACUUUGGUAUGGGUUAGCCAGGAGGCUGGGAUUAGAAUAAUUUGAUGGGGAUAUUGAUUGGGGAUGUUGCAGUAUUCCGGCGGCAACUAUGCCCCUAGCAAAUCAUAAACUAUAUUAUUGUUCAUCUCUCAUGAAACAUAAUUUCAUCAUCAUUGGAUGUUAUAUGUGAUUCUUUAUAAUUAGUUUUAAAUUUGGAGGUGUUUUUUUUUUUAUUUUUGAGGUUUUUCUAGUAAGCACUUUUGAUUAAAGUUCAAGAUAAUGUACUUUCAUUCUAUGAAAUGGUGAAAGUAUAUUGAAUGAGAUUGAAACUGAUUAUUAAUUGAGGCUGAGACAGAAAAACAAGUUUGUUUCCUAUACGUAAGGGUAAACACAAAGCUUGUUAAUGAAAUUAAGGAAAAUAAUUAAUUUGAUUAGGCUGCUGAAUAUGAUUACGAUAGAUUUGUACAGCCACAGUAAUUCUGAGUUCUCUCUCUCAUUGUUACAAAAUGGAUUAACAUUAAGUAACAUACAGUUCAGGCAAGUUCAUACAGUACAAACUAUUUAUAUUUUUGAUUGGCAAUCCUGAUACGUUGCAAUCUUUCUGAUUGGCUUAUCUUGAAUAUUGUGGAUCUCCUUAUUGGCUGAUAUUGAAUUUUGCAAUCACCUAAAUAAACUCUUUGAAAGUUGCAAUUUUCUGAUUGGCCAAAUUAAAAUGUUGCAAUCUUAUGAUUGGCUUUUUGUAAUUUCUGAAAUAAAAACACAAUAUCAUAAUGUAUGGACCUAAAUUGGCAUUAGAGAUGAAAUUUUUUAACAAAUAAUGACAACAGCAAUAAAUAAAUUAGCCAAUUUAACAUAACACAAUAAGUACUAAAGUUUACCAAUAAACUGAUGCCUGUUCAGUACUGUAUAUCGUUUGGAUAUUAAUAAACAUUGCUUUUAUGCCAUCUAGCUUGAGACCUCUAUUUUAGCAAAAUUUUUACCAUUUUAGCUUUUAAAAUUUUAACAUUUACCUUUAUAUAAUAACAUUAUAUGAUGUGAUGUAUGUGUUGUGUGUUUUAGUGUGUGAUUGUAUCAAUAAGAAUAUUUUUAUUUUAUCUGUGAACAAACAACCAGAAUAUCAAUCUGUGUAUUUUACUGUGUUUGACAAAGAUUGAAUUUAAUAAAUCUUUUUAUUGCAAAAAUGUAUUGUUAUGCUAGUGCCCACUCGCAGGUUAGUGUGCUUGCUUCAAUAGCGUCCAGAAAGGCAGUGUUUGUAAUUAGUGUAAUAUAUUUGUGAAACGUCAUUUUUAAUGCCCCUAGGUAAAGGAAGCCCUGGUAAAAUGUUGAAAAAUGUUAUUUCUUCACAUCCAACAAGUACAGUACACUCGCCAUUUACAGGAUGGAAUGAUGAUAAACCAAGCCUCUUAUUGAGGCCUAGGAAGAGGAGAGGAGUUGUUUUUGGUUGUGAGAAAAAGUCCUGCUGUAACAGAAAUAGAAACAAGGAUCCUGGGUUUAGAAGCCAAGCAUAAGCUACUAACUAAGCUACUCAACUCUACUCCAACUACAUAAACUGGGGGUUUUUUGCCAUUGGAUGAAAGCUAAACUAAUAUUGUUUUUAAAAAUAUGUGUACAGUAUAUUCAACUAGUUAUGUCAAUAAGAUGAUAACAUACCACACACGAAGGUGGAACUUGGAAGAAUUAUUUACUUGCCUGUUGUUAAGUGGCAAAUAUAGUGAUAGCGUUAUGACGUAGUCUGACGGAAAUAAUGGUAAUUAAAAAAGUUUUGCAUUUAGAUAGGCCUAAUAGUAAUACACAAAAAAAUGAAAAGCAAUAUCAAUGUA